AUCCGACGUCCCCGACUCAGUCUGCCGAGCUUCGAUGAGGCGUCCGAUGUAGCGGUUGACUCGUGUCGCCGGGAGCAGCGGGCGGCCGGACUGAUCCGUGCAGGAGCAAGGCAGAGGGACGGAAGCAAGGAAGUUUCGGGUGCCCGCCGCCUGGGGUCGACUUCACGGUCCAACCGGCACAUGGAACAUUGAGCAGCGGGUUGGUGAAACUCUCGAGACAAAGUAGUCACGAGGGGACCGGCGGACCAUCAUCCACUCUCUAAUGAGCAGCCGAUGGAGGCAAUAACAUCUCAUCGUGGCAAGCAUACGGCUGGCGUACAGACGGGAGUGAAAGUGAAGGCGUGAUGCGAGAGCUACACCCGAGAAAGAGCAAAGAUAAAGGGGACGAGCGGAAACUGAAAUGAGCAGCUCAAGCAUGUCGAAUAAUGCUGCAGUGCAGAAGGCGAGUGCGCCGCACGGAAACGUAGAGAAGU